rnacentral:rRNA from 1 species
GUAAGGAACCCUUCCCCUGGGGCUGAUCCCUGGCCGACAGUCGACCGUGGGGUGCUAGAGGGGGGUGGGAGCUCGGUGAGGCAUUUUCCCGGUUCUUUAUCACCCUCUGGCUUACUCCUGCGUGUCGGCAGUGGCCCAUGCCCACUAUGGGGGGGCGCAAGCCCGGGACUUGCCACCAGUGCACCUCUCGGCGUCCGCGACUGGCCUCUCGGGGCCUUUCCGCGUGGGCUGAGUUGGUAGCCGGCAAGUACCUUGAGCAGACAUGUUGGGACCCGAAAGAUGGUGAACUAUGCUUGGCCAGGACGAAGCCAGAGGAAACUCUGGUGGAGGUCCGCCGCGAUUCUGACGUGCAAAUCGAUCGUCGGAGCUGAGUAUAGGGGCGAAAGACUAAUCGAACCAUCUAGUAGCUGGUUCCCUCCGAAGUUUCCCUCAGGAUAGCUGGUACUUGAGAGUAAUUUCAUCCGGUAAAGCGAAUGAUUAGAGGUCUUGGGGACGAAACGUCCUCAACCUAUU